AGACUUACCUGUCACCGAGUUGAGGGCGAUCAAGAAUGCUCUGACCACGGGUGAAGUCUCCCCAUUGUACCUCGGUGGGUAUAAACUCGUGACAAACUCUAAUCGGGUGAGCUCGGGUGUGUGGUUUUGUCAGUGGGAGGCAUCACGGUUAUCUCUUU
rnacentral:snRNA from 1 species